rnacentral:rRNA from 1 species
GACGAACGCUGGCGGCGUGCCUAAUACAUGCAAGUCGAGCGAAGCAGGAACGGGUGAGUAACGCGUGGAUAACCUCCUCUAAGACUGGGAUAACUACUGGAAACCGGCGCUAAACCGGAUACGUAUAAAUGGAUCCGCGCUGCAUUGACUAUUUGGUAAGUUAACGGCUUACAAAGGCAAGGAUGCAUACCCGACCUGAGAGGGUGAUCGGCCACAUUGGAACUGAGACACGGCCCAGACUCCUACGGGAGGCAGCAGUAGGGAAUCUUCCGCAAUGUGCGAAAGUCUGACGGAGCAACGCCGCGUGAGUGAUGAAGGUUUUCGGAUCGUAAAACUCUGUUAUUAGGGAAGCGGUAACUAACCAGAAAGCCACGGCUAACUACGUGCCAGCAGCCGCGGUAAUAC